rnacentral:rRNA from 1 species
UACGUAGGGGGCAAGCGUUGUCCGGAAUUAUUGGGCGUAAAGCGCGCGCAGGCGGUUCAGUAAGUCUGGUGUAUAAACCCCAAGCUCAACUUGGGGUCGCAUUGGAAACUGCUGGACUGGAGUGUAGGAGAGGGAAGUGGAAUUCCACGUGUAGCGGUGAAAUGCGUAGAUAUGUGGAGGAACACCAGUGGCGAAGGCGACUUUCUGGCCUAUAACUGACGCUGAGGCGCGAAAGCGUGGGGAGCAAACAGG